CAAGGGUGGAAUAAUUAUGGAAGUCUGUAAGAAUUGACGUUAAGUAGUGCAUCAUUUCAAAAAUGAAGGAUGACAAGAAGUCAUGCGACGUCACACUUCGCUUCGCAAACCGGGAUACGUGGUUUCGGAGUUUCACCAUCGACAUUCUUUCACUCUAAUCCCUCUAUUUCUUCUCCUUCCUCUUCUAGGGGAGACCUUGGGAGGAAAUAAAAUCGAGGUGAUGAAGGAGCAAUAUUAUUUUUUCUAGAUGAAAAUGUAAUUAUAUUAAGUGAUGGCUACAAUUUGCAAUGCGCUCGAUCGAUGGCGUUGCCGCAAAAUUAAAUUUCGCGCUCAAAGGGACCUUCGUGACGUCACGUCUGUUAUUGUUUACAAUCACAAAUGAAGGUUAUGUUUGUUUACUGGGAUUAAAAAUUUAACAUGUUGAGUUUGCAUCUUGUUUUUCCAAUUGAUCCUGAAUAAGCUUAUAGUUCUUAUGUAAUUAGUUUAGUUAGUUUUUAUAAUUUUGUGGGUCUCUCUAAUUCGUCUUGUCCCAUCACGUGUGUUAAUUCUGCCACACCUUUUAAACAUCUGGUACUGGUUCUUCUAUUGCUCUUUUCGUCCUGGAUUUGUCUUCGUGCAGCUACUGUUCUUUUCAUAUUCUGCAAUGAUCAUAAGUUAUGAUAUCCUGCAAGUUUGACUCAUUAAGUAAUUGAAAGGAAUUGUUGCAAACGGGUCAAGCUCCUCAUACCCUCUCCAAAAUGGGGAAUCAAUCUGCCAAAACGACCUCAAAAUCUCUCUCAAAUGUCAGUCCAAACGAAUUAGCCAUUAUUGAAGGUACAAUACAUAAAUCAAAUGAUAUCAAACAGAACGAUGUCCAAAAAGUAUGGAGCGAGUACAUCACCCCUACCUUGUUGCAGAACUACUCACGGUUUAUUUUCUCCAAGAGUCCCCAAAACUCUCCAAACUUAAAUUUGAAAUCAUUUACCAUUCUACUCAGUGAACUUGGUAGAGGUUCAUCAGAUCAGCAAGCUGCUGCUUUAUACUCGAUUUGAGAACCAGCGAGGAGGUAACUGCGGGUGACAUGGAACAGGUGCGUUCAUUACUUUGUUUCUUAGCUUGACCUCUCAGAAAGCAGGUGCCUCAAGCUUUUUAUGUUUAGAAUUUCUGCUGCUAAGUACUUGUAGUUCUACAAUUGGAAGUGAAACUGGAUUGCUUGUUAUGGAAAGGAAACAAUUUUUAAUGUUUGCUUGUUUGCUAACAGUGAGCAAAAUUUUACACCAAAACUCUGUUCACUGAUAUGUAAAUAGGUGGUAGAAGUAAUGUCUUCUAAAAUACUUCCACUAAAUGCAAUCCAACUCCAGAUUAAAUUGAUAUCAUGAGUUGGUAAGGAUGUAUGUUUAACUUUUCAAAGAUUCAGGCUGUUUUGGCCAACACAAACGAGUAGUUGGGUUCUAUCGCUUGAUCCAGGAAUUGCCUUAAAAAUGAGUUUUGGAAAUGCAAAUUCGAAGGCAGAACACUUUUUUGGAGCUAUCACGGGCUCAAAACAAUUUCUUUGUCAAAACUCAAGGAACGGACUGCAAAAUAUAAAGAUAAAUUAAAAAGAAGAAGUAUAAGUAAAGUUUACGACGCACUCGCAAAUUAAAAUGUUUUUAAAAACAAUUUUUACAUUGGACCAUUGCUUACGAGAAUGGAAAGUCCAGUUUUGAGCAUGUAGCUCUUCUGCAGCGAUAAUGGUGACAGCUUUUUUUACUGAAUAAAGAGCUUUCAUUUGAUGCCCAAGAUUUUAUACUUGCUCUCUAAGUCAAAUUUCAAUUGUUUGUUUCAGUAUGUGAUACAACUUCUCCAAUCAUGCUUUAAAAUCUUAGAGAAAAAACAAAACAAAUCCUACCUAAAGUGGAAAAAAUUGCAGCAGAUUCAUUUGAUUCUGAUGUAUCAGGUGUCUCAAGUUAUUUAUGUCAAGAUUUGAAGAGAGAAAACAAUGUUGUAAGUAAAGUCCAUUUCCGUUUAUCCUCUCUAACUUUUCAGAUGCACCUCCCUUAAAUUCAUUCAGAAAUUCAUUAAUUAUUUUCCUCAUUUUUCACUCUUUUUAUCCCUCAUUCUCUAUUUGCUUAUUGUAAGCGUAGAGUUAGAACAUACAGUAAAUGCAACCUCAAUGAACCUUUCAGAAAGGAAAAAAAGCAAGAGAAAAAGAGAAAAAAACAAUAUAAUUUCACCGUGCUACACAGGAACAUCAGAACAAUUUAUUCUAUUUGAGUUUCUCCUUGUUUUCCUCUCCCCCCCCCCCCCAAAAAAAAAAAAAACCUAGGUAUACUAGGUAAGUAAAUAGUCUUUCAAGGUAUUGCUAACAAAUGUGCCUCUUCCAGGUUCCAUCCAUUUUAAGAUCUGGUUUUGAAAUUGAGAGUGCUGUCUGAUCUGCUGGAAGGCUACAAGAGGAAAAUAUUUAACUCAAAAUAACUUGCUGUCUUUUGCUGAGGCAUGGUAGUGUAAUUUCACUAAAAGCAGUUGAUUACUCAAGUUGACCAAUAUUAAGAUGAAAUUACCUCUUGAAUAAAUGUUAGGAAUUUAUUGAAGCAUGAUUUUGGUCGCACCUCCCUCCUCUUCUCAUAAUUUUAAAAAAUAAUUAUUUUCAGAUCUCCGAGGAUUUCAUCGCCAACUGGUUAGCACAAUGUCAAAUGAUUCAUCUACUUCAUAGUUUCGUGAUUCUGCAUCUAUAUGGUCUGUAUCAGUCACAAGAAUCAAGUGGUCAACAGAUGCCUUUCUUUCUACCAAACCUGAAGCUUUUACCUGGAAGUGAGAAUGCAAAGUCGCAGCUGUCACUACCUGGAAUCCUUUUUCUCAACCAAUUGCUACCAGUUGAAUUUCAGAGAGAUUGGCGUCUCUUAUUCUCAUCAAAU
rnacentral:lncRNA from 1 species